UCCGGUUUGACACCGGCAGUCUCCCUAGAGUUCCCGGCUUUACCCGCUGGUAACUAAGGACAAGGGUUGCGCUCGUUACGGGACUUAACCCAACAUCUCAUGACACGAGCUGACGACAGCCAUGCAGCACCUGUCUCAAUGUUCCCGAAGGCACCAAUCCAUCUCUGGAAAGUUCAUUGGAUGUCAAGGCCUGGUAAGGUUCUUCGCGUUGCUUCGAAUUAAACCACAUGCUCCACCGCUUGUGCGGGCCCCCGUCAAUUCAUUUGAGUUUUAACCUUGCGGCCGUACUCCCCAGGCGGAGUGCUUAUCGCGUUAGCUUCGUCACUUAGAAGUAAACUUCCCAACAACUAGCACUCAUCGUUUACGGCGUGGACUAC
rnacentral:misc_RNA from 1 species